CGAAAGGCCUGCCGAGCUGCGAGUCCAUUGUAUGCAGCUCUAGCCAUAGCAUAGAGUUAGUAGAACAACUCUAGAGGAAAAGCUGGGCCGGAAAAGUGGGAACCUCUAGGGCGCCGCCAUGUUGCUACUGGUCAAUGUGGCCAGCGCAAUUACUAUUGAAAGAGCUGAGAACAAGUACAGGUCACCUUAUGCUUUGUCACCUAAAAACGCAUACCUGAUGGCUUUAUGAAGGUGGUACGUUAAUAUUAAGUUUACAGAAAGCGAUCGCUAAGUCCGUGACUUAUGUAAAUCACGAUGUACGCAUUCAUGCAAUAAAGGAUGGCGCGAAUUUCGGUUUCGAAUCUGUUUUUUGGAUGCGUAGUAGUUUCGUUUGACAUGCGAUCGCGCGUCGACAUCGGACGCUAUGACACACUCGUGCCUUAUGUGCCACCGAAGCCCCGAAGUGGUCUCGCAUAUACCUUCACAUAUAUGCAAUGGCAAGCCCUUCCGUGUGUUCCAAAGACAAUGCCUACGCCUAGCCACAGCAGCUCCCUCAUACAGACUCCGCAAACCAAGAGGCCGUGGAGGCAAAUGCAGGCAGCCAGCACACCUCGAACAGCCACCUUGACUGCGGGUGUGUCACCCUAGUCGCCAAGGAAACAUUUGAGGGAAAGUGACAGGCAAUGUGAACAGCCACUCCUCCAUGUAAACAAUACUCUUUCUCUCGGAUGACUCCUACGCCUCACCACGCCAGCACACUUGUGCACAAAGAUGCCGCAGAGGCACGUGCAGGUCAGAGGCAAGAAGCAGUGGCACUGGUGUCGACAUUUACCCAAUUUCUUUUUCUUACACUGAGGCAGCCAGCACACCUCGAACAGCCACCUCGACUGCGGGUGUGUUAGUUGAUCCCUGUUGUACAUAUGCUCAUAAUAAACUUCAGUAAACUUGAACUUCAUAAUAAACUUGAAGGCAAAUGGUA